rnacentral:rRNA from 1 species
UACGUAGGGUGCAAGCGUUAAUCGGAAUUACUGGGCGUAAAGCGUGCGCAGGCGGUUUGUAAGUCUGUCGUGAAAUCCCCGGGCUCAACCUGGGAAUUGCGAUGGAGACUGCAAGGCUAGAAUCUGGCAGAGGGGGUAGAAUUCCACGUGUAGCAGUGAAAUGCGUAGAGAUGUGGAGGAACACCGAUGGCGAAGGCAGCCCCCUGGGUCAAGAUUGACGC